AUGACUCCAGGAUUUAUCCCAGAUAUGACUGGCUACAAUCAAUACUUUACUAGAUGUGGAAACGGCUUUAUUGCUGGAGUCAUUAAUGCAGACCAUCGGAAUAAUGCUCGGGCAUCUCGUCAAAUGCUGUCAGGGAAUGUUGCAGUUACUGUGUCUGCUAUAUCGACCCCAAUGAACACUCGCCACCAACCAGGAGGUCGUCACUUGGACCCGCCUUUUACUGAUGGUGAGACAUUAGACGUAUUGGUAUUUCAGCAAAGUGAUAUAAGAUUUAAGACUACCAAAUGCAAACCUACUGCAGUAUGGCACAUUAUCUAA
ensembl:lncRNA